CAAUCGGGCCUCGGUCCGUCCACUUUAUCGUGACGACUCUGAAUAACUUUGUGCCGAGAGCACGGUCUCCGCACCGGCUCCGUAUCUUUCGAGUUUCUGCCUUAUCAUGCUGUGGAUUGUAGGCCAUGCGCCUACAGUGGCUGUUACGGGUGACGGAGAAUCAGGGUUCGAUUCCGGAGAGGGAGCCUGAGAAACGGCUACCACAUCCAAGGAAGGCAGCAGGCACGCAAAUUACCCAAUCCCAGCUCUGGGAGGUAGUGACGAAAAAUAACAAUGCGGGACUCUUCCGAGUCUGCGUAAUUGGAAUGAGCACACUUUAAAUCCUUUAGCGACAACCGAUUGGAGGGCAAGUCUGGUGCCAGCAGCCGCGGUAAUUCCAGCUCCAAUAGCGUAUAUAAAAGUUGUUGCGGUUAAAAAGCUCGUAGUUCGAGCUCAGUUCCGGACUGGCCGGGGAGGUCACCGCCCGGUGCUUCCCCGUCAGGCUCCGAACAGCUUCCGCCAGCGGAAGCCAAGCCGGUUCUGCCGGGGUGCUCUUCGCCGAGUG
rnacentral:rRNA from 1 species